UUGCAUGUGGAAAUACCUUCUCCCCAUUCUCUUUGGAGUAGGAAUGUAUCCAGAACAUGCUACACUAAAAGAGGAGUUCUCAGGGCUGCCAGCCUUCUAGUAGAGGUUGGGUGGUAGUAUAUUUCUCCUACAGAA
rnacentral:snoRNA from 14 species